CUCGGUAUCAUUGCCGGAAGUUCUCCGCAUUCAAGCAGUGGAAACUUUCAGCUCAGAUGCACAGUGAAACCGACAGCCAGGAGAUCACAGACUUUGGUCUAGGUAAGAGAUGCUACUGUGACGGGAUAGAAGGUCCAGUUGAAAGUUUUGGAUACGAAAUACGUGGUCACUGGUCAAAGGUCAAGGCCUGGAGCAACCGAAUACGAAUUCUGGAAUGUCUGUAGAGUGACUGGAGAGAAAAAUGUAAAAUUUUCUCAGUCAACCAACGAGAUUUGAAAACACGGAUGACCUCAGUUGCGAGAGAGAUGACUUCAUGAAGCUUGAAACCUCGACAGCCCUCGACACUCGGCGUCAGAACUCCGAAGCUACGAAGUAUUUCACUAGCAUUUGUCCCGCUCUGGUAGGACUCCUUGGAUGAGGGAUCGGCCCUUCGCGAGGCCUCUACCUGUACACAACACAGCAUCCAUGGCUUGAGUGGGAUUCGAACCCACGGUCCCAGCGGCACAAGGCCCACGACACUGUGACGACUAAAUGAAAAAUAUUCAUGACCAUUUUAACCAGAGAAUACGAAAGUCAUUUAUGUUUUCAAUUAUCUGUAUGACAAAACAAAAUUGUAAGUACUUGCCGACUCGCCUUUGACUCAUUAUAAUGUUCAAUCCACUCGUCGGGAACAAAGCAACUCAGGCCGGUAUUGGUACACGGACCUUUGCUUACAGACCUCCACUAAGAGGAUUUCCCUCACUGAAUUUCUGCCCACUCGACGGGGCAGAGCUCUUUCGUCACAGGAAAGAAGCCAAACCACGACUAAUUCCGGUCCGACGCUCAAAUCGGAUCAGGAACGUCGCCGUCGCUUGCUGGAAGUAAGGCCUCAUUUCGAAACGUCGUAAGCCGAUAUAAUUAUCAGCGUCCUGUCUCGCAGUUACGAACGCACGCAGCUGUGACGUCACGUGGUCUUUCAUUUGGAUAAACAACGUUUCGGAGGAACAUAUCGUCUUCUUUUUCAGGGCGAAAGAUGAAGCGGAACUUUUUUUUAGUGUUCUGU